CCGACCAUAGCUCAGCUGGAAGAGCACAAGACUGUAAUAGGGUUCCUUCUUGAUCUUGGGGUCGCCUGUUCGAGCCAGGCUGGUCGGA